AACAGAAAAAACCUCACCCCUAGAUAUCACUUUCAUUUAUUUUAAACAAACGAUCCAGAUUAAUAUAUCACAAAAUAUUUCAUUUAUGAUAUCUCAACUCACUUUAUUUACAUUUAACACACCAACACGCAACAUUCAAUAAAAAAGAUAGAACAAACAAUUCAAGCAAAAAAAAAAAAGUUUAAUCAAUUGAUGGAUAUUAACUCCGAUGAUGAUGACUCCGGCGCCUCCUCGAUCGGCUCCAAGUCAGGUUUCCACAAUGAUCCCUGUCGAAGAAGCCCCAUCGGAGUCGGAUUUUCAUCCCUGAACCUACACUGAUUCAUUCCAAUACCAUUGCUAAUACCACUAGCAGUCCCUACGACACGCGUUUCGAUCUCGGUUUUACUGUCGUAGGCGACGGCGGAGAGCUUUCUGGCAAGAACCACCUGAUCCAGCAGCGUGACGUCGUCGUCGAACACGGAUUUGGGGAGAAGGAAGUAAAAUCUGUUACUUUGAAGAUGUUCUUGGAGAUGAAGCGGUUUGAAACCCACAGAGUAUUGCGGGGCUAAUGAGCAUAAGACCAUCUUCGGAGGUGUGCCGGUCAAAUCACUUACCUUCACCGGUAGCGAUUCAGGAGUGAUUCUGUUAUCUGCACAGACGAAUUCCUCGACGUAUCCCGUCACAUCGACGACUCGUGCUCCGUUAAUUGCCGGAGGUUCUUCCGACGACCGUGAAUAGCCACAACCCAUGAUUGAAAGGAUAAAUAGCGGUGGAUUUCGAUUUAUACGGCUGAAAAUCCUUAAAAAAAAAAUUAAAAGCAGAAAAUCCUAAAAUUCAGUAAAAUCUAAUGUAGCUUAUUUAACAGGUUAAGGUUUGACUAAUUACUAAGUGAAUCUAGAAUAACAUGAUUAUGAUUAUUAAUUAAGUAGAUUGAAAUUUGAAAACGUUUAAUCAGAUUACGUUGUGGUCGGCUCAUCUGGUCCCUACACGUCAGAGUAUAUUAAUUUAUAGAUGUUUUUAUAAGUACAGUUAAUUAAUAGAUGUUAUUUUCUAGAAUAAUAGGUACAAUUAUGAUGUCAAAUAAAUCUCGAUUCGAUGGGCUUGGCUCGUUAAACUCGCGAACCCAACGAGCCGAACUCGAGUUUGAAGCUCAAGCUCGUUAAGCUUAACGAACCGAGCUCGAGUUUGGACAUUCCAAGCUCGAUAAGAGGAAUAUAAUAAUAAUAAAAUAAUAUAAUAUAUUUGGAGAAAACGAAGAUAUAACUUAGAUGGUAAAGUACUUGUUUGGUAUGAGAGAGGUUGCGAGUUUGAUAUUUUACUUUUCUAAAAUAUUUAUUUUAACCUGCAAUUUUAGGUUAUUAGAACUCGAGCCCGAGUCUUGGCAAAUCAUUAACGAGUCGAGUCUGACUCCGGAUAAAUCUUUAACUUAAUGUUAAAACUCGACUCGUUUGACAUCCUAGCUACCAUUUAUAUCAAAUUCUUUUAAUAAUAUAAGACGAUCUUCACUUAAUGUCCACGACGAACGGUUUAGAAAAUUGAAACAAAAAACUAAUUUUUGAAAACGAUGUAAAAUAAUUUUACUUUGAUUGAUUUAAAUGUAAAAAUUACACAAAGUAUUUAUAGUGUUUGAAAUAUUUUUUAUUACAUCAAGAAAUGUUUAUUAAUACAACUAAAUCCUUGAAAGCUUAUUUUAAUUUCCUUCCUAAACCUCGACGAUCGAUCCAUUAAAUCUUUAAUCUGUUAUAAAAACAUUGGUCGAUUAACAACAUAAUAAAUUACAUUAUCAGUUUACUUAAUAAUCUGUUUAAUUAGUAUUUAAGAGUUUGAUUUUAAAACAGUAUUUAACAAGUACUUAAUUAUAUCUAAUAAAUAACACAUCAAUAUCAAAUCGGAUGUCAAUUUUGAAAAAUAUUCGAAAUUACUAUUUCGAAAUUGUUUUUUGGUUUGGUAAAUUAUAUUAAAUUUUUGGGGUUCUUUUCUAAAAAAAUUAAAAAUUUGUGUACACGUAUUGAAGAUAUUACACGGAUGGAGGUGUCCCAUUUAAUUUAACCCAUAUAACAGUAGCAAAUCCAUACCUGUAGAAGAUGAACCGACACCUAGGGAGACGCCACCUCCAAUAGGAAUAAAGGUGGGUAUUUAUAAUAUAUGACCUACAUAUCCAAGAUCAGGGGUGACUUGGGUACGGACCAUAAACAAUUACAAGUCGUCGCAAUUAUCGAGAGAACAUGAUUAAUUCAGCAAAACAGCUGCAUCAACUUCAGUUCUAUGAAUGUUGAAAUUGAUAAAUUAAAAGUCAACUCUCCCAUCUGGGGAAUUCAUUGGACACUUCUAUCAGUAGCUUGUUGGAACAUAUGGAAGGAGCAUAAUACAAGAAAAGCUACUGACAUUCAUUUAAAUGAAGAUAUGAUUAUGAAGCAGAUCAUCCGUACUACAGAAUGAGAAUUCAAAGAACACCGUUACAAAAAAUCACAUAAAUACAAGAAUGAGACAAUGGUUUAUCAACACUAGAAUGUUUUUGCUAUGCAAAACAUGAAACCUAAAAGAAACGGAAGAAACCUCAGCUAAUCAAAGUGUGUUUUAAAUCCACUACAAUGUCUUAUAUUUGGCUUUAAACUUAUGCUUUUUAUUUUUGUAAAAUCUUUUUAAUUGAUUUUAAUAUAUGAUUAAGUACCUUAUCCAAAAAAAAAUGUGAGUAUUUAUUUUUUGUUUCAUCACAACAUAUACAUGUAGAUUUAAUAAACUAUGUCAUUUAAUCCAGGGGUAUUUAAUUCCCUUGGAUUAAAUGACCAACGAUCCAACGACAAGUCUAUAUAAACGUUUGUCGUUCACAUAAAACCCUAACCCACCUUGAGUAGUUCUGUCCUUACAUCUCCGACGCUUCCAAUCAUGGUUCGUCGCCGACACACCGGAGGGAUCAGUAUGCCCUGGGUUUCGAUGGUUGGAGGAAGUCGUCGUCCGCAGCCUCGACUUGACUGACUCCGACGACGAGUCGUCGUUGUAUGAACCCUAGCUCCUACCCCCGAUUCUGUUAUGGAGUUCGAGCCGAACUCGCUGUCCGAGUCUGCCAAUCGUCGAGGUCCUGCUCGUCGUCCGCCUCAACGUACGCCAAUGGAACCGAUAUACGUCCCCGACACUCCGAUCGUCCUUGCACAUGCGUGUCCCGACCAUCCGCUACUGCCGCCGCCAUCCGACGUCUUGGUGUACUGCAGUGCGGGUAUCUUUUCAUGGCGUACAUGUACACUGCUGUGUCUCACCUGUUCCCAGUUCCGGACGACAUACACCAACAACGCCAUCAACGAACCGGGCGAGGUGCUAAACUUCGACUUCAUCGACGACCUGGAGCUCGACUAGAAGGAGACUGACUCGACGGUGGGGGGGCGAAGGCGAUGUUUUUUUUCCAGAUUAAUAUGUUUGUUUAUGUCUUGUGUUUUUUUUUCCAACGAUGGUCGGAAAAAUGUAUUUUAGGUUUAUCAUUCUGGUAACCGUUUGCUUUGAAUGGAAUGAUAUUCUAUAUGUUUUUCAAUGGUAUUGUUAAGGUUUAAAAUUUCAUUUACAAAUGUUUUAGUUUAAAAAAAAAGUAAAAAAAAUAUAUUUUCAAUGCUUAAUAAAUACAAAUCUAAAAUUUUGAUUAGACAACUCCUAAAUUAGAAUUAAAUUUAAUUAAAAUAUAAACAUUAACGUACCCUUACCUUAUUAAAUACUAUUUACUUAUAUGUCUAAUUUUUUACCUAUUUGUUUAAUAAUUUCAUAGAAAUGAUAAUAAAUUAAAUAAAUUUUCAUUAUAUAAUACGAUAUUGAAGAGACCGAUACCCUUAAUGAUCUCUUUAAAAACCAUCUCAGGAGAUGUAAUAACGUGUUGUCUGUAUCUUUUAUUUUUUUUCUGUUUAUAUAUGUCAUGACAAACACAUAAUAACAUUCCAUAGUAACUUCCAAAUAAGAGAGUUAUAUGUGACUUUUUGCGCAGCCUUUGUAAGUUCUUUCAAUUUAAUAUGUAGAGUGAAAAUUGAAAUAUCCAUAAGAAGAAAUUCAGAUGUUCAACCAACAGAAUUAGAAGAGACCUGAAAUAAAAACAAUUGAAAAAAAAGAUAACUUUUAGAUUUAUCUUUCAGUUUGCAUAAGUAAGAUAGAUUCUUACACUUUUCAGCUUUUGAACAAAAAAUACAAAUAUAAAAAAUCUAAUUUUAAAAUAACGCAAUUAAAUUAAAUAAUUUAGUAUUAGAAAUAAAUACAAAUACUAACUAUCAUCUUUAUCUGAUUUUUAUAAUAUACCGUACACGUGUCACGUGGAGAAGGAUGGGAUGGAUAAAAAAUUGUACACGUGUCAAGAAAAUUAUUAAUUUCUUUAUUACAUAGUGAAAUUAUUUCGAUUAGUCAAAUUAACUAGAAGGGAAAUUAAUUUCUAACUCAUUUAAUUAAAAUCAAACACAGACACACAGUAACACACCAACACGCAACAUUCAAUAGAAUAGAACAAACAAUUCAAGCAAAAAAAAAAAGUUUAAUCAAUUGAUGGAUAUUAACUCCGAUGAUGAUGACUCCGGCGCCUCCUUGAUCGGCUCCAAGUCAGGUUUCCACAAUGAUCCCUGUCGAAGAAGCCCCAUCGGAGUCGGAUUUUCAUCCCUGAACCUACACUGAUUCAUUCCAAUACCAUUGCUAAUACCACUAGCAGUCCCUACGACACGCGUUUCGAUCUCGGUUUUACUGUCGUAGGCGACGGCGGAGAGCUUUCUGGCAAGAACCACCUGAUCCAGCAGCGUGACGUCGUCGUCGAACACGGAUUUGGGGAGAAGGAAGUAAAGUCUGUUACUUUGAAGAUGUUCUUGGAGAUGAAGCGGUUUGAAACCCACGGAGUAUUGCGGGGCCAAUAAGCAUAAGACCAUCUUCGGAGGUGUGCCGGUCAAAUCACUUACCUUCACCGGUAGCGAUUCAGGAGUGAUUCUGUUAUCUGCACAGACGAAUUCCUCGACGUAUCCCGUCACAUCGACGACUCGUGCUCCGUUAAUUGCCGGAGGUUCUUCCGACGACCGUGAAUAGCGACAACCCAUGAUUGAAAGUCGAGUUCUAGGAAAGUCGAUCUCUGAGAAAGUCGAUCUUCCCAGGAGUUAACUUGGGACCUUCCCAGGUGUCUCAGCUCAUUUUGGGCUAUCCGGACUUUUAUAU
rnacentral:lncRNA from 1 species